rnacentral:rRNA from 1 species
AUGCCACCAGACAUGACCCGAACAACUUAUUUUCUUCAUAUUCGUUCUUUCGCACACUCCUGGGCUGCUGCCAACCAACUGACCCACACACCAGAGACCGGCGGCGACCGGCGGCGACCGCCUGAGAUGGGCUCCCUGCUCAUGCCGCUGCUGGGAAGCCUGGCCGCGAUGGCCGGCGACGUGCUGGUGACAGAGCUGCUGCGGGCGUGGGGCCUGGGCAAGUCCCGCCGGAAGCUAGAGCGCCCCCUCGCCGCCGUCCAGAGCAUCCUGCUGGACGCCGAGGCCAAGAGCCGAACAGACCCCGCCGUCCGCCGGUGGAUCAAGGACCUCAAGACCGCCGCCUACCAUGCCGACGACGUCCUCGACGACUUCCGCUACGAGGCGCUGCGCCGCCAUGCCGCCAAGCUCCGGCGACGCCCCACCGCACGCAAGCCGCUGGGCUACUUCACCAUCAAUAGUCCGGUUAUUUUCGGUGUUUACAUGAGUUGGAAGAUGAAGGGUGCCCUUCAAAUGAUAGAUGAACUGGUUGUGGAGAUGAACAAUUUCCAUUUCCUACAACAUGUCGAGCCACGAAUUAUUGUUCAUCUACAAACACAUUCUUGUGUCAAUGAAUCAGAUAUUGUCGGAAGACAAGAUGACAAGGACCAAGUGGUGAAGAUUUUGCUAGACCACUCCGCCAAAAAUGAUAAUAAUGUCAUUGUGCUCCCUAUUGUUGGUACGGGGGGAAUUGGUAAGACCACCCUUGCUCAACUUGUGCACAAUGACCAUAGAGUGGCGCAUCAUUUUCAGUUGGUCUUAUGGGUCUGUGUCUCUGACAAGUUCGUUAUCGAAGAAAUUAUACGAUCUGUAAUAGAAGUGGCCACGAUGAAGAAGUGUGAUUUGACUCAGACGGAGGCACUGCAGAAAGAACUUAUUGGAGUGUUGGGAGAGAAAAAGUACCUCCUAGUGAUGGAUGAUGUCUGGAAUGAAGAUAGGCAGAAGUGGGAUGAUAUGAGAUCAUUGCUAUGCUCACAUGCUGACUCAGGUAGUGCUAUACUUGUGACAACCCGCAACAAUCAAGUUGCUUCUAUAAUGGGUACAUGUCCUCCGCAUCAGAUAUCACUUCUAAAUGAGGAUCAAUCAUGGCAGCUUUUUCGUAGAAAAACAUUUGGAAGUGAUGUGGAAAAACAAGAAGAAUUGAUUUCAGUCAAAAAGAACAUUGUUCAUAAGUGUAAGGGAUUGCCUCUUGCUAUCAAGACCAUAGCAGCUUUACUUCGUUCGAAGCAUCAUAGUCAGUGGUUUUCUGUUCUGGAGAGUGAUGUCUGGAAAGAUGACAUCCUUGCAACUAUUGGGAUUGUACCUGCACUACAGCUAAGCUAUGAUCACUUGUCAUUUGAAGCAAAAAUUUGUUUUUCCUUUUGUGCUAUUUUCCCCAAGGAUAGCCCAAUGGAUAAAGACAUGUUAAUCCAAUUAUGGAUGGCAAAUGACUUUAUUGUAUCAGAAACAAGGGGAAACCACAUUUUUGAUGUGCUAGUUUGGGGAUGUUUCCUCGAAUUAGAUGUGGAGAUUCGAAGGGAUCUGCUCUCUGGAUUUGAAGAUGUGUUCAUGCACCGACCAACUACUUGCAAGAUGCAUGAUCUCAUGCAUGACCUUGCUUGCUCUGUUAUCGGAAAUGAUUGCUCUAUUCUGCAAGAAUCUUCACCAUGUCAAGAAAUUCUGGAAGGACCCACAUAUAUCAGUUCAUUACAUCAUGAGGUUCAACACUUGUCUGUCGAUUACGUCACUAAUAGUACUAUUGCAGCCAUGGAGAAAAUGUUAGCUCCCCGACCCCGCACGAUAUUAGUCCGACAGGAGAGGAAGGGGUAUGUGACUCCUCUGAGUAUGGCCAGGUCAAAAUUCUUGUCCUUGCGAGCACUGAAGACAUUCUUAUUCGAGACACAUAUGACAAAGUUGAAACAUCUUCGCUACCUAGAUUGUUCUUAUUCUAGUAUAUCUGCACUGCCUGAAGCCAUUACCAAGUUGUAUAACCUGCAAACACUGAAUCUCAUGGGUUGUCGAAGCCUUAAGAAAUUACCAGAACACAUGAGAUGUAUGAGUAGUCUCCGACAUAUCUUCCUUGUUGGGUGUAAUCGUUUGGAGCGCAUGCCAAAAGGUAUUAGUCAGCUGAAUUCUCUGCAGACAUUGACAUGUUAUGUCGUUGAUAGUGAUGUAGGCCGUGGAAUUGAUCAACUGGAAGAUUUGAAUCUAGGUGGUUCUCUUCAUUUGAUGGCACUGGGAAAAGUGGAAAGUGCAGAAAAUGCUAAACAUGGGAAUUUGUCUGCCAAGCAUAAUUUGAAACGACUAUCACUUGAUUGGUACUAUGGACCUUCAUUGACAGACAUUGGAUCUGAAGUGGAUACUAAUGCAGAAGGAAUAUUAGAGGCCCUUCGUCCUCAUAAAAGGCUUGAGGUCUUGCUGCUAUCUAAUUAUGCUGGUGCUAAAUUGCCAUCAUGGAUGCAUGACUCUACACAGUUAGAACAUCUUAGUGAACUCCGUCUAGAUUUUUGCCUGAAGUGCACCGAUCUUCCGCCAUUAUGGCAACUUCCCUGCCUCAUGUACUUGGGUUUGGAAAAUUUCCAUAGUUUGACAAGUAUAUGUGUUGGUAAUGACGACACUGACAUUGGGCAAUCCGGUAUUUCUCCAUCAACAUUCUUUCCUAAGUUGGAAACCAUGAUACUUUACAACAUGCCUAAGCUAAGGGGAUUGCACCAGGAGGAGGCAGGACAAGUGGCAGUUGUAUCAUUUCCUCGGCUUAAGAAGCUAGAUAUCUCUGAAUGCCCAUGGUUACAGACACUACCAGAGGGUCUCUUGCAGCAGCUUCCAGCCCUUGAGGAACUAAAUAUAGGAUCCUGCGACAACUUGGAGGUGGCCUUCUCCAGAGGAGGCACUUACUGGAAUUUGGUUGAAGCAAUUCCGAAGAGAUCAGUUGGUUCUGACUAA